rnacentral:rRNA from 1 species
GAACGCUCGGGCGGGUGCCUAAUACAUGCAAGUCGAGCGAACGGACGAGAAGCUUGCUUCUCUGAUGUUAGCGGCGGACGGGUGAGUAACACGUGGAUAACCUACCUAUAAGACUGGGAUAACUUCGGGAAACCGGAGCUAAUCACCGGAUAAUAUUUUGAACCGCAUGGUUCAAAAGUGAAAGACGGUCUUGCUGUCACUUAUAGAUGGAUCCGCGCUGCAUUAGCUAGUUGGUAAGGUAACGGCUUACCAAGGCAACGAUGCAUAGCCGACCUGAGAGGGUGAUCGGCCACACUGGAACUGAGACACGGUCCAGACUCCUACGGGAGGCAGCAGUAGGGAAUCUUCCGCAAUGGGCGAAAGCCUGACGGAGCAACGCCGCGUGAGUGAUGAAGGUCUUCGGAUCGUAAAACUCUGUUAUUAGGGAAGAACAUAUGUGUAAGUAACCGUGCACAUCUUGACGGUACCUAAUCAGAAAGCCACGGUAACUACGUGCCAGCAGCCGGGUAAUACGUAGGUGGCAAGCGUAUCCGGAAUUAUUGGGCGUAAAGCGCGCGUAGGCGGAUAAAAAGUCUGAUGUGAAAGCCCACGGUCAACCGUAGGAGGGUCCUUGG